UUUUGUGUUUUGUAAUUUUAGGUGAAGAGCUUCUUUCAGACUCCUUCCCCUACAAGGAACUAUUGAAUGAGUUCCUAUGAGAAGUUGAAGAAAAGUUAUGGAUAAUGAAAACAAUGCUCCUUCGUUAUUAAAGUCGAUUGAGGACUAUGAUCCUAUAUUUUUCGAAUUGUUCGUCGAC